UAUUGUCUAUAAUUCUUUAUUAAUGUUUUUAUUAUUUUUUAUUAUUAUUGAUAACAUUAAAACGCCCACAAUAACUGACAUCACUUCUCUAGUUUAUGACAUUGACACAGGAACAUGGGAACAAAUGCAGAGUCACAAUUUCAGCCCAACUACAGAGUUAACUUCCAAAAGAUAACAGGAGACCCAGAGAACACAUAGCCAAGAGUUGUCUGGUAGCAAAGGAACAACCACCUCUACAAAAGUAACAAAACUCCUUACUAUCUAUCAUUGUGGAAGUGCUUGUAAUUUUGGAAGUUUGUAAUUUCCAAAAGGAUAUUAAUAAUAUGAAUGCCUAGAAAAUGGCCAAUAGAAAUCUCUCUGUAAAAAUUGGCUAGCAGGACAACCCUUGGCUGUGCAUUUUGUCACUAACUCUAUGUACUUUUUUUUGUUGAACUUUUCUUUAAUACAACAACAAUAACACUGUUCUUUAAUACAAAUAUAUACAGAGGUUUCAACUUGUUUAAAAAAUAAUGCCCUACACACUAAUGCAUUGUCUAUAAUAAAGUUGAUUUUCAUUAGAUUUUUUUCCUUCACAGAAACUGUCCAUGCAGUUUGGUACCUGAAUCGUCGUAAUUAGGUCACAGUUUCUUUACCAUUAUAACAUAUUGAUGUUUUGUGUCUCUGUAACAGCGUGAAUGUGUCACCACGGCAACAGGCCUGCCUGCCUGUCAAAGACAUAUAUUUAAUCAGCUUUUUUAGAAUAGCCACCCAAACCCUCCCUUAUCCCCUGAAAAAGCCGUCUUCACCCCUGCCAACCUCUUGAGCAGGAUUUUGUACCAGCUUCUUCAAAUGUAAACAUACCUUUGCCUGCAAUGAGUGGAGAGAGAAAGGCACACAUGAUAAAAGCACACAGCUUUAAGCUACAGUACCUACAGAGGGAGUUUGGUUUUGGUUUGAUUAGCUCAAUGACAUGUUAUACCAUUCUACUAGACAUGCCUUUCUGCCUUUCAUGUGAUCUACUUUGAUUUUUUUAAAUGUAUUUUUUCAUUUUUGAGUUUCUGAAUUGGAUGAGAAUGUUUUGAAGUAUAGACACCAAACGAUUGGGUCCCUCCCUUGUCUUUCCCUGAAGAGAACAGAAUCAGGGGACCAUUCUCAGGGGCCUCCAGAUGUGUACAGCACCUAGCUCGGAAUAGGGAACUUUGGGCUAUCUUCCCUCGUGUUCACAGGGUACUCGAAUGUGGCCUUGCCUGUCCUCCCUUUAACUGGUGAAGCAGGCCUGGAAAGAGAAGACACGGGAUCUCUGUGUAUCCUGGCCUGUCACAGACUAACAUAUUAGGUCAUUGUUUUAAUUUUUUUUUUUUUUUUUUUAAAUAUAUGUACCAUUAUUCAGGGAGAUUCACAGGUAUGUGAUCAUUGUUUAUCAGAGCAAACAGACACACUGUGUUUUUACAACCACUACAUGAGACCACAUCAUUCACAACUAUCAACUGAAAAGGAUCGUUUUCACAUGCCAUGGUACAAUCACAUGCCAUGGUACAAUCACAUACCAUGGUACAAUCACAUACCAUGGUACAAUCACAUACCAUGGUACAAUCACAUGCCAUGGUACAAUCACAUGCCAUGGUACAAUCACAUACCAUGGUACAAUCACAUGCCAUGGUACAAUCACAUACCAUGGUACAAUCACAUACCAUGGUACAAUCACAUGCCAUGGUACAAUCACAUGCCAUGGUACAAUCACAUACCAUGGUACAAUCACAUGCCAUGGUACAAUCACAUGCCAUGGUACAAUCACAUGCCAUGGUACAAUCACAUGCCAUGGUACAAUCACAUGCCAUGGUACAAUCACAUGCCAUGGUACAAUCACAUGCCAUGGUACAAUCACAUGCCAUGGUACAAUCACAUACCAUGGUACAAUCACAUGCCAUGGUACAAUCACAUACCAUGGUACAAUCACAUACCAUGGUACAAUCACAUACCAUGGUACAAUCACAUGCCAUGGUACAAUCACAUGCCAUGGUACAAUCACAUGCCAUGGUACAAUCACAUGCCAUGGUACAAUCACAUGCCAUGGUACAAUCACAUACCAUGGUACAAUCACAUACCAUGGUACAAUCACAUACCAUGGUACAAUCACAUGCCAUGGUACAAUCACAUACCAUGGUACAAUCACAUACCAUGGUACAAUCACAUGCCAUGGUACAAUCACAUGCCAUGGUACAAUCACAUACCAUGGUACAAUCACAUACCAUCCAUGUUCCUCCAUCACAUUUCAUCAGCAGUCAUGAACGUUAACAUGACCAUGCAUUUAACCGACCAGUCAAACACCCUGGUCCGUGUCAAUGGAACACAGUCCAGCUUCAGAGCUUCUAUCCCAUCCCAAUGGACCAUUUAGAAAAUACUGAACCAUCACGAAUACGGAACACAUAAACUCCUUAUAUGAAGAAUAUGUCCAUCACUCCCUAUCAAACGGACAAGCUGUUGUUGUUAACACUCUUGAUUACAUUGAGUUCUGUACCUAAUCUUUAUAACUGUGUUGGACUGUCAUUUUGCUAUUUAAUCUCAGUAUCUCAGUGCUGUUCAACUAGUUUCAAAGGGGUCAUGCCAUAUCAAAAAAGAUACGCUAAUGAUCACAACCUUCAUACUCUCGUAGUGUUGUAAGCUCAUGCAUUAAAGGGUUGGGAGAAGAAUAAGCUACUUUCUUAACUAAAUGCAUCAAGAACUCCUUCCUGAGUAAAGGUUACACAAUACAGAAGGGGAGAAGCCAUUAAAAGGUUUUGACAUUCUGAGUAAUGGACACAUAUUUAUGCAACAAACACCUCUUCCAAACCAAGAGGGAGACCUCUAAUGCAGCAAUUCAAUCUCCACUCCCACACGUUCCUCUCUUUUCACUUGGAGGGCUUGAUCCAAUCCCUGCUAUCGCCGCAGGCUUUGGCUAAUGCCCUAGUAUCAUAUUAUUAUGCAGAUUUAGUCAGUUCUUUCCAGUAACCUGCGAGCCAAACUCUGCUUCCCCUUGUAUGGUGUGAAGAGUAUUACUGGCAUGUAUAAAAACCUGAUACCAUCAAUUGAAUCAACCCUCCGGACACUGAUGCAAAGGGCAUUCUACAUAUCAGUGUUUAGAUUUACAUUAAAUAUAACAAAACAGGUCAAAUAUGCAGUUCUUUGUUUCUUCUGCUGGGGUGAAUACCGGUACUUUGCUAGUGACCAAAACCCAGUGUGUUCUAAAAAGUCCAAACUCAAAUGCUCGCAUAUUCAAUGGUUUUUAAAAAAGUGCCCAAGAGAGUUUCAUUACACUGGCUAAAAGCUAAUUACACCAUCCAUGCCCACUAGGUUACCUCAUUAUAUUAUCACAGGGUCUCCCACUAGGUUACCUCAUCAUAUUAUCACAGGGUCUCCCACUAGGUUACCUCAUCAUAUUAUCACAGGGUCUCCCACUAGGUUACCUCAUCAUAUUAUCACAGGGUCUCCCACUAGGUUACCUCAUCAUAUUAUCACAGGGUCUCCCACUAGGUUACCUCAUCAUAUUAUCACAGGGUCUCCCACUAGGUUACCUCAUCAUAUUAUCACAGGGUCGCCCACUAGGUUACCUCAUCAUAUUAUCACAGGGUCUCCCACUAGGCUACCUCAUUAUAUUAUCACAGGGUCUCCCACUAGGUUACCUCAUCAUAUUAUCACAGGGUCUCCCACUAGGUUACCUCAUCAUAUUAUCACAGGGUCUCCCACUAGGCUACCUCAUUAUAUUAUCACAGGGUCUCCCACUAGGUUACCUCAUCAUAUUAUCACAGGGUCUCCCACUAGGUUACCUCAUCAUAUUAUCACAGGGUCUCCCACUAGGUUACCUCAUCAUAUUAUCUAUCUACUACACUUUCCCUAUUGGCUUUUUAACAUUGUGAUCCGUGUUUAAAAACUCCGCUCAGUGGGCUGACAUGAUCAUAACCUUAUCAUAACGACACAGUACUGCACAAUAUAGCCAAUGUGACUACUAUGAAGAGUCCUCUAUACAUGAACUCACUCACACGACACUUGAACAAAGAGCCAACCAUUUAGUUAAAACGACAGUCAUUUCAGAUUCAUUACAACAGACGUUAGCAUUUACAACAUGUCGACUUUGGGUCCUUGAAAAAGCACUAUAUAAGUCCCAUGUAUUGUUAUUAUUAUUAUCGUCAUCAUGUUUGGAUCAAGGAUAGAGAAGAAAAGGAAACCUAAAAAACAAUGACGGUUUUGUUGAGUAUCUUUAAAACCACAGUCAUAACCACCUCUAGUCGUCACAACUCUCAAACAACUACUGUUCCUUUGAUAAGCUAAUACAAGAGAAAAAUAGUCAACAAUUACACUGGAAAAAUAUAUGUAUGUUUCUAUUCAUAUAUAUAUAUAUAUAUAUAUAUAUAUAUAUAGCAUUUGAAAUUCUAUUUAUACAGAAUGUAUAUAUAGUGUACUUAUGGCCAUCUUGGCAAAGAAAUAAAGGCAUCUGAAACAAUCCCAACUCUCGGUCAUGUCAUGUGACGCCCUGGUCAUGUCAUGUGACCAGACAUCGUACAUUGCAGAAUGCAAAGAAUCAGGAAAGAAACUGAGUGGUAGUGGCACUUUGUGCAUCAACAAAUGUCAUCUAGAAUAAGGCUACAAGGGCGUAGAAGUGGAUGUGAUAUAAAUUGUCAAAGAGGUCAUCCUCCUUGAUGGUUUAGUUUUUUCUUGAAGAUGUCCUUUACAUGUCUUAGACCCAGACAUCCAGUCUAGACGGAACAUUCCGGAACAGAGCUCUUUGGAGCUUCUGCUCAACACAUUGAGAGAAAAUAAUGACAAGAGAAAAAUAAUUUAUCAAAAGGCAUUAAAACAUCUAUAGUACAUUAAAGAUGUUUUGGGUAAGCCAGUGUUGGCCGCUACAAAGCGCUUGGAGAGGUAACAUUUGAUCCUUAUAUCUGUCUAUUUUCUUAGUCUUAUUUUUCCUGACAAAAAGCAAAUAAAUCAUCGAUGACACAAAGCCACUCUGACACCACCAGAACAGUGAUUGCUUUCGUUAGUUAUUUUGCUUUUACAACUGCUGAUAUAUCUAGGAAAGCCUAAGUAAUCAAACAAUAUUCUAUUUAUUCUUUCUGAGCAUGGUUUUUAAAAUUGUAUUUAAAUAUUAGAAAUGGAUUUUAACACUACUGAUACUCAGCCAUCACAACACACACAUAAAUAACAAAAUAAAUAUACAAUCAUAUCAAUAUUUAAUAUGAAAUAAAUAAUAAAUACAUACUUUCUUUUUAAGCCGUGGGUAUCUGAAGACACAGAUAAAAGAAAUAGCAUAAAUGAAGGAGAAAACCUUUAUAAAAUUAUCAAAACAUUGUCAUUUAUAAAAUAUUUGCAAUUAAAAAUGUUUACAAAUUAUUUAAAAUAAAAUAAGAUAUAUAAAAUAAUCAAGUGUGGACAGUUGUCUAAAUAGCUUUUUAAAUAUUGAUGUAGAAGACUUCCUAUUUUAAAUCUUUAUGGCCAUGAUCGACCAGCAGGGUUGCAUUUUUUGAUUUACUAAAUAUACAUUUAAUUGUUUUUUUAAAUAAAUAGACCAAAUCAAAUAAAUACACAUAAAAUGACAAUACAUUACAAUUUGCGUAUUCACAAAUGUAAAUAAUUUCUAUAACAAUAAAUAUUGUACCACAAACUAACAGGAAUAGACAAGUGUGCACUCCAUUACCAUCACCGUUCAGUUCAAAGAAAGAAGGCUGCAUCUGUUGCUCUCAGAUCUUCCAGCAGAUAUAUAGAGAAGGUUGUUGAUUUUCAGAAGAGGAAAAAGAAACCAUUGAUUUGUGACUUAAUCUUCGCUUGAAGAGCUGCUUUCCUCUGAAUUGAGACAAGACAUGGAGUCAUGUUGACAUCUUGCUGCAGUAACAACACUAAGCACAUGAACCAUUGCUCAAGAAGACCCCAGAGUUCAGGGAUUCUCCAUUCACUUCUACACAAUAGGAGUGCUGUAGUGCUCAGAAUCACACACUACCCACUCAUACACAAGCCCUCUCACCUUAUCCUGACCCAGAACAACAUUGCUGAAGCCUUCGUGUCUUCUCUGGGACACAAUGUGUACAGUUUUCCAGUGUGUUUUCUUCACCUCAUGUUGGCAGGUCAUACCCUCUGUCUUAUCUGGCACCAUACCACUACUUCCAUCCUUCGUUCUUUCUUUCUUUCUUCUCCAAAUUGUUGCUGAACUAAACCUUGAAUUACAGUAUGAAUUGGGACAGUCAAACAGAUACCUCCAAAACAGAGAUACCUCCAAAACAGAGAUACCUCCAAAACAGAGAUACCUCCAAAACAGAGAUGCCUCCAAAACAGAGAUACCUCCAAAACAGAGAUGCCUCCAAAACAGAGAUACCUCCAAAACAGAGAUGCCUCC
ensembl:lncRNA